rnacentral:rRNA from 1 species
CAUAUCAAUAAGCGGAGGAAAAGAAACCAACAGGGAUUGCCCUAGUAACGGCGAGUGAAGCGGCAACAGCUCAAAUUUGAAAUCUGGCGCUUCCGGCGUCCGAGUUGUAAUUUGUAGAGGAUGCUUCUGGGUAGCCACCGGUCUAAGUUCCUUGGAACAGGACGUCAUAGAGGGUGAGAAUCCCGUAUGUGACCGGAGAGGCGCCCUCCACGUAGCUCCUUCGACGAGUCGAGUUGUUUGGGAAUGCAGCUCUAAAUGGGAGGUAAAUUUCUUCUAAAGCUAAAUAUUGGCCAGAGACCGAUAGCGCACAAGUAGAGUGAUCGAAAGAUGAAAAGCACUUUGGAAAGAGAGUUAAAAAGCACGUGAAAUUGUUGAAAGGGAAGGGAUUGCAACCAGACUUGCUCGCGGUGUUCCGCCGGUCUUCUGACCGGUCUACUCGCCGCGUUGCAGGCCAGCAUCGUCUGGGGCCGCCGUAUAAGACUUUGGGAAUGUAGCUCCCUCGGGAGUGUUAUAGCCCUUUGUGAUGCGGCGCGUCCCGGGCGAGGUCCGCGCUUCGGCUAGGAUGCUGGCGUAAUGGUCGUAAUCCGC